rnacentral:rRNA from 1 species
UGAGAGUUUGAUCCUGGCUCAGGACGAACGCUGGCGGCGUGCUUAACACAUGCAAGUCGAGCGGGCGUAGCAAUACGUCAGCGGCAGACGGGUGAGUAACGCGUGGGAACGUACCUUUUGGUUCGGAACAACACAGGGAAACUUGUGCUAAUACCGGAUAAGCCCUUACGGGGAAAGAUUUAUCGCCGAAAGAUCGGCCCGCGUCUGAUUAGCUAGUUGGUGAGGUAACGGCUCACCAAGGCGACGAUCAGUAGCUGGUCUGAGAGGAUGAUCAGCCACAUUGGGACUGAGACACUGCCCAGACUCCUACGGGGGGCUGCAGUAACGAAUCUUCCGCAAUGCACGAAAGUGUGACGGAGCGACGCCGUGUGUGGGACGAAGCCCUUCGGGGUGUAAACCACUGUCAGGGGUUACCAAGUUCUGAGGAGCCCCAGAGGAAGGCACGGCUAACUCCGUGCCAGCAGCCGCGGUAAU